CACUUCCUCUCAGGGCGUGUAACACAGCAUGGUGGGGAAUUCCUGCUAGUGGUGUGAACAGAGCUGAGAGAGUAGCAAGCAGGGGAACGCCUGUCCUCUGGGCUUAGGGAAGGUUUCACAGCCUGGUUGCGUUGGAGUGAGUCUGCAAAGGAUGAAUAAAUCAAGGCACAGAGAAGUUACGGGACUUGGCCAAGGAGAGAUACAGGUGGUGGAACAGAGAUUCAAACUCAGGAAGUUAGCCACCAUGUUUUCAGUCAGCCCUGCGGUGGGGAACAGAGGGAGGCCUUCAGCUAACAGCCAGUGGGAAACAGAGGCUUUUAGUCCAACUGCCCACAAAGAAUUGAGGCCUGACAACAACCAGAUGUGUAUAUAGCGUGUGUGCCAGGAGCAAUUCUAAGAGCGUGAUUCUCCCAAGGACCCGAAGAGGUAGUUAUUGCUAUUAUCUACCUUGUAUAAAUAAGGAAAGAGAAGCCCACAGCUCAGUACUAACUGGUGGAGUGCAUCCCUCUAUGACCUUGGUGUAGAAGACUGUUAUAAAGCCUUACGGAUCCCAAAUAUAUCACAGCUGACUUCAUUAUGGUUUUCAAAUUAUUUAGUAAAUUGCUUCAGUUUUAUUACCUCUGUAAAAUUUGCCUUACUGUAACUACAAUAAAGUCUUGGCCUCCUUUCCCUGUUCUAAUUCUAA